UAAGGUAGCUAUACUGAGAAUGCUCCACCUGUUCCCAUCCCGAACACAGAAGUGAAAUUUCUCAAGGCCCAUGAUAGUCGACUUCGUCGGCGAAAGUAGGUAGCUGCCCUAC
rnacentral:rRNA from 3 species